rnacentral:lncRNA from 1 species
UUACAAACAGCGUGAGCCCCAUUAGAGAUAAACUUAUUUCAUAAAAAGGUUAAAUGCGAUUAAGUACAUGUGAAAUGUUAUUGUAAUGUAAUUUCCGAAAAAGUAUGUUUAAACUAAGUACAUGACCUAGAUUAGCUUGCAAAUAUCGUAAAUAAUAUAUAUUUGCGACCUGAAAAAGAAGGGAUUGAUUUUCGUCUUACAUUUUGCCUAAGCUCGGCCUGAAACUUAUACGAAAUACAUGUAAUAGCACUAGUAAAUCAAUGCAACGAUACCAAGGUAUGUUUUGUUACAUAAGGUCACCUGUGUUAAGUUAUGGUCUUUAUUUUACUGAUGGUUUGCGUGUGUCAUCUGAAACCCUUCCCUAUUCUAAACAGUUCCAUACCCAAAAACAGAUACAUACAUCGUAUAAAUGUUUUAAUCAUUUUUGCGCAUCAAUUACGGUGUUAAUUCAAGGGUUAGCCCAACCUGUAUUGCCUUGAUUGGGUUAUGGACCUUCUUCAUUUUGUUUAUCGAAAGGUUCUAGACACGUUUUCCGCAGGUGCAGCCUUUCCUGUACAUGUAGAAAUACGCACCUGCCUUGACAUAUAAUAAUUUACGUGGAAUUUUAAUUAACUCAUGAAACAGACGCUUAUUUUGUAAGCACGUACACUUGAGAAUUUACGUUUUAACAACACGUUAGCGGUUUAUGCAGUCAUUUAUAUUCUGUGUUUAUGAGUAAGGACAUGGAAAAAUCUAAACGGACAGCAAACAGAAAGUGCAGAAAAGAUACCUACUUUGGUCCAUUAGGAAAAUGUCAAGACUGCUGAGUAUUAUGCGAUACACCGGCGCAGUAUCCUGAUUCAUGCACGAUUUAUUGCUCAGAUUACGCCCCUAAAGAACGCACAACUACAACACUGUUCCCUCCGAUAACUUCAAGCCACUCCUCAAACAGCAUCAAACCAUGGUUAAUUGGAGGUUUUACAAGUUUAUGUGCUUUGCUGUUUCUCUUAUUUAUAUUAUGUCGGCUGUGGAAGAAGGUUUUAAGAAAACGGUUUACUCGGAUUGCGGAAAAGAGAAGAAACAAAACGCUUCGGGCUCCAGUACAAGCACAAAGUGAUCAAAAUGAACGCCCAGAGAACAAUUCUAGAGAAAUCAAUAAUGAUAUCGAAAUAGAAUCUGCCUCUACUCUCAUCGGUUACUUCGAGAGUGAAGUGAUGAACUCUAUAGGCGACUUGGAGACAAAUGGACAUCGCCUGUUAGCGGAAACUGAAAGAUCUGACUCAACACAAACUGUUAUCACAAUAACCGACGAGAUUUCACAUUACUCCACAAAUGAUUUUGAGUUUGGAGAAACGUUUCCAUUUCAUUCCCUUUCAUCUUUAGAGAGUUUGUUUGAAUACAGCGGCGACCAGACACUUAGGAAAACUAGAUCCGAGUUCGUGACAUAAACUGAACUAAUAUUAAUGUCAGUCAUUGAUCUCGGCUUUACUUUUGGUUUGUUAUUGAAUAAUAUGUAUUUGUUUACGACGUAUUGUCUUGCAUA